UACUAAUGUUUGAUGAAAUGGUUGUGAGAACAAAAAAAUAAAUAAAUACUAAAUAAAUAAAUAAACUUACAUGUUUUAGUAUUUAAUCCAAUUUUUGUGUUAGUUGUUUUGUAGAAAAUUUUGGCCCAUUUUGAUAGGUUAGUAUGUUAAGGGGAUAUUGUUUUUGGUAGUUAUUCUAACUAUAAAAACGAAUUGUUAGGUUAUUGGUGAAAACUUUAAUUAUACAUUGUUCAUUUUGAUAUACAUAUUAGUCUUAAGCAUUGAAUUAUUGUCUAUGGCAUUGACAGGAAUCAUAUCAUAGCAUCAUUGUGGCCUUGUCGGCUUUUUACUGACAUUGUCGGGAUACAAUGGAAUGGAAGGUCCUUACUCCAUUAGGGAGGGGUACCAAGGUUGAAAAUUCCGGAUGUGGGUUGUGUUGUGAGGAAAAGGCGGAUGGCUCCCUAAUAAACAUUCACUCAAAUCUUUACUCGGUUAGCUCCAUCUCCCGGUGAUUUGUUUUAUCUUUACUGCUCCUUGUUGGGUGGCCCAUAUUCCGGUGAUGAGAGUGUGUGUGCCAUUGGGAUUGGCCCGAUUGCUUUAAGCCUUUGCUAGUUGCAUUACCUUGGUGGCAUCAUCAUUGCACUUCAUUUCAUUUUCUGAUUUUAGAGAUAGUAUGACAUUUUUACAAUGUUUUCUACUAAGCCAUCUGCCUUAAUCAAAUAAAAAAACCACUUUCAGUGAACAAGAUACGGGCAAGGCCUGGCUUGACUGACGUGUUCGAGUCCAUUUUUGAAGAUUUCUUUCGGAUUUAGUUUCUUGGAUAUUUUGUAAUACUUUAAAUGAGAACCAGUAUCUAUUAUUUGGGUAAUGUUAGCCCAUUUUGUUCCAAAUGUAUGGAUGAAUUUGUUUUGAAGUUAAUGUUAUUCGGACAAGUGUUUAGACCAUUUUGAAAUGGGUAUGGUUUAUAUCGGACUUUGAUCAUCGGGUUGAUGAAUUGGAUUAGACAGGAAUAUGUGGUCCCCAUGUUAGUGUUGUUGGUUGUUGAUUGAAAAUCGUUCGGUUUCUUCGUCCUUUAUUAGCGUGGUACCCGAGCUUUUGGAACUUUUUCAACAGGUACCCACGUAGGACAUUCCUUUAUUUCGCACUUGUGAUUGGUCCACGUAGGACCUUUUUCCGGCAUUAUAUUGACUUUGUUGACUUCGCAACCCGUGGUAUGGAUUUCCGGGGCGCGACAGAUUGGUAUCAGAGCUAAUCGUGUUAGAAUACCUUGGUACUAUGGGAAUCUAGUGUCUAUUUGUUUCCGCAUGUGCAUGUGUCAUGUAUGUUGCAAUACGGUUUAAAAAUAGGAUGGGUUCUAAUGAAGCAUUAAUAAUUUUUUUUUCUUCCUAUGUCUAAUUUUAAAUAAAAUUCGAUUUGUAUUUUUGCAUUUUUACUGGGUAGAGACUAUAAGUAUAUAUAUGAGGUUUUUCCUUGUUUGGAUUAUUCGCAUCGACGACUAAGUCUCGUUUGUUAGUGUUGGAUUAUUGAUUGGUGAAGUUCUUCAUGGUUAAUUGUACGUAGUGUUGAUGUGAUAAACGCAUGUUACUUGCUAAGUAUUUCAUGCCUUUGAUGUUGAGUUUCACAUGCUUGUUUCUUAUGUGUUAUAGCCUAUGUAUUAUGAUACGAAAUUGCAUAAGUGCUUUAUACAUGUGAUUUUCUUUCAACUGAUUGUUAGUCGUUAAGUGGUUUUUGGUAUGUUGCUAUUUUGUAUAGCUAUGCCGCCUCGUUUGAUAGAACGCGCCGAGGCCGUGUUAGGGGUCCGAGCUCCAGGGCGAGCUAUGGGCCGAGCCGAAGCCUAGGUAGGGGAGAGUUAGAGUUGAGGGGCAUCUUCUUUCUUCUUCUGCUUUUUCCAGUAUCAGGGUGGCCAUGACGAGUCACCCCAGAUGUUCCAUUUCACACCAUAGGCCUUCGAGAGUUUGUUCGGCGGCCAUACGAGAUGAGAUACGCACCCUCCACCCCCACCUCCCCUUGGCGUGGAGCACAUUAGUGCACAGGCAUCGCUGAGCCUAGUGCUCAAUCUGCCAUGAGAGAGUUCAGAAGGCAGACCCACCUCGCUUCUCCGGGUAACCAGAUCCGAUUGAAUCAGAGUUGUGGUUGAAGAAGAAUCAAUCUGCUUUUGAGAUGGAUCCGGUUGGACGAGAUAUUCUCCGCAUUAGAAGCAGCUACGUAUCAGUUCUCCGGGCCGAGCGCUCACAUUUGGUGGGAUUAGUGAAGACACCCAUAAACGUGCGAUGAUACGUGGGGGAUUUUGAGCGUGCAUUUUUAGACUACACUUGUCCGCAAGUGGUGGGCGAAAUGACCCAAGGCGAGAGUUCUUAGCCCUUAAGCAGGGAGAUUUGAGUUUGGUCCAGUAUGCGUCCCAACUUCCAUGACUUGGCACUUUCGCAUCCAGAGUUUGGCGUAGCCACUGAUUAUUUGAGGGCACGAUGCUUCGAGCAUGGGCUUAGGCCUGGUCUUCGUUGGGAAGUGGUGAGCUUUCGAGCUCAAUACAUUUGAGGAGGUAAUGAAGAAGGCACUUGUCCAAUCGACGGAGAGGCGCAGGAAGCAAGAUGGAUAGGGAUUCUCGUACUUCAGGCAAAGGGUCUCAUUCAGGGCAACACCUAAGAGGCAAGGCAGACAUUCGCAGGUCGACAAGCAACAUCCUCCUAAUUCUCAGCCCAAACCGUCUCACAGCAGCAAUGUCUUCCUCUCAGUCCAGUCCUAGGGGUUUCACAUCAUCAGUCGCAUCCCGAGGUGGAUCCAGUCAGAGGCCGAGACUUUGCCUACCAUGUGGACAGGAGGGCCACACAAGACUUUUUGCCCCAACUUCAGACACAUGAGACAAAAUCCAGCAGUCCAGACCACCAUAGUUGGGUAGAAGCCCCCUAGUCUUGCCUUUUUCAGCACCACCCCGUGCCAUCAGCUCAGGCCAUCGAGAGUCCGUGCUUCCUCGUGGUCAGCAGCAACAGGCAUCUGGGGGACAAAACCCCGAUGUACGCCGUCAACCGACAAUCGCACCAAGCCUUCAGUGAUCAGAGGACCUUCCCCAAUUUGCAAUGCAAUGGGCUACAUUUUGAUAGAUAACUGGUGUACAUGUUCAUUCAUAGCUCGGCAUUCGCGUUCGCUUUGGGAUUAAUGUAAUUUGUUAGAUUCUAACGCUCUUGGUAGAAUACUACUCCGUUGGAGGUUGGUUCCUUUGAAUAGGGGUAUGCCUGGUUGUGUGCUUGUGGAUAGCCGAUCGACGCUUGAGGCCGACCUUGUUGUUUAUGGAUAUGUCCUGGUUUUUGAUUUAUCCUUGGUCAUGGAUUGGCUUAGUUCUAAAAUCGGGCGAUUGUUGACUACUUCUGGAGUGAAAGUCACUAUCACCAUCUUCUUUAGGGGAUUCCUUUACUUUGGUGGGUGACCGUUUGGAUUUUUUCGACAUCGUCCUUACCAACCAUUUGCGUGGUAGACCAGUGUUACCAUCGGGUAACUCUUAGCUAGUUUGUGGGCCGAAGAGGGCGAAGCGACUCUUGAUUGAGCUCCCCCUAUUGUUUUGUGAGUAUGCGGACACUUCUUUCCAGAGGAUCUACCGGAUUUCCGCCUAUUCGGGAUAUCGAGUUCGGGAUUGAUUUAGCUCUAGGUACGUAUGCCUAUUUCUUGUACCUGCCUACCGCAUGGCUCCGGCAGAAUUUGAAAGAGUUUGAAAACCUCAGAUUGAAAAUUUGCUUAGCAAGGAUUCAUUCGACCGAGUGCUUCGCCCUUGGGGAGUACCCAUUCUUUCGCAAAGAAGAGAUGGAUCUUUUGCGUUUGUGCAUCGAUUACCGUAAGUUGAACCGAGUUACUAUCCAAGAACAAGUAUCCCACUUCCGAGGAUCGAACGACGUACUUGACCAACUUCCGGGUCUAGUGCUGUUCGAAGAUUGAUUUUUGAGAUCGUCUACCUCAGUGAUAGUUCGCGAGCAAGACAUCUCAAGACCGCUUUUCGUUCUCGUUGGGACAUUACGAUUUUCCUAGUGAGCCUUCUCUCUGCGAAUGCGCCAGCCCGCUUUCAUGGACUUGAUGAACCGCAUCUUCAGUCCCUUUCUAGAUCAGUUCGUGCAUUAUCUCAUCGACGACAUCUUUUAAUUUUAACCUCUCCGACUCGGGAGGAACAUGACUAACAUCUUCAGAUUGUUUUACAGAUUGUAGAGACCACCAGCUUAACGCGAAGUAUUCGAAGUGCGAGUUUUUGGCUACCGAAGUUAAGUUCCUUGGCCAUGUUGUUUCGGGUGUGGAGUGGUCAGUUGUUCUCUAAUCGAUCCAAGUUAUGGAUUGGCAAGCACCGAAGACUUUUUGAGUCCGUGAGUUUCUUAGGACUCGCGGGUUACUAUCGACGUUUUGUGUCAGAUUUCUCACGUCUACGCGAUGGCCGAUGACGAGACACUCACACGAACGGUUCAAAUGUUGCCUUGGGAUGAACUUGUGAGCGAGUUCCAACAAUUGAAUAGAGAUUGACGACAGCACCUGUCUUGGUUAUACUACUAUAGAAGUUGGGUUUCGCGCCGUGUAUUGUGAUGCAUCUCACGUGGUUUUGGGUUGCGUUUUAUGCAGAAGGCAAGGUUGGUAGCGUACGCUUCACGCCAGUUGAAACCCCACAUGAGAAAGAACUCCCGACUCACGAUUUAAGCUUGCAGCCGUUGUUUUUUGCUUUGAAAGUUUGAGGCAUUAUCUUUAUGGGCGAGAAGUUGAUUCUUUUCCGAUCACAGAGGCCUCAGUACAUUUUCACACAGAGAGAUUUGAAUCUACGUCAAACUGUGAUGGAGUGAUCUGAAAGACUAACGACUUGAUUUACUAUAUCCUCCUGAAAGGCCACGUUUGUGGCCGACUCCCCUUAUCAGAACCUCGCACACCGCGGCUUUUCUAGCCAUCCAUGAUGGAAGAUGUUAGAGCACUUGGAGAGUUGAUCUUGAGGUCGGUAGAUCAGGCCCGCUCAUUGCUACGUUAUUCACUUAGUCGGGCACAUUCCGCCGACACUUUUGAGUCGAGUACUAGAAGGCACAACAGUCUGACGAGGAGGGCCGUUUCCUUUCGCGCACGUGUUCCUAGUGACGAAGGCAAUGGAAUGGUUUGGACUUUUAGUCCAAUUCGGGUUGAGGUACCGGAGUAAGACCGUUUGUCCCGUUAGCCCUACGCGAUGAGUUUUGGUGAUUUUUCAACCAUUCUCGAUUAGCAUUGCAUCCAGGAGGCACGAAGAUGUAUCACGACUUACGCCAUCAGUAUUGGUGGAAGGGUAUGAAACGAGCCGUUGCGAUUUUUGUAUCUACUUGUUUGACGUGUCAAGCAGGUCAAGGCCGGAGCACCAGCGACCGCUGGUUUACUCCAGCCGCUAUAGAUCCCGGUGAAGUGGAGCACUCACUAUGGAUUUUGUCAGCUGUCACUUCCUAGAUCGCAGCGCCAGCAUGACACCGUUUGGUCAUAGUUGAAUCGUUUUGACGAAGUCUGCGCAUUUCCCUUCCCUAUUAGGAGACCGCUCAGUGGACGUUCUUCAUAGAUUGUAUAUCGGGAGAUUUGUAAGCUUUAUUGGCAUUCCAGUGUCCAAUUGUUUCUGAUCGUGAUCCAGAUUUGUUUUCGCGCUUUUGGCAGAGCCUUCAGGCAGCCAUGUACUCAGCUUUUGCUUAGCGCACCGCAUUUCAUCCGCAGACGGCGGUCAAUCCGAACGUACGAUUCAACCUUGGAUAUAUGUUCGAAGCCCCUUGGUGCAUGGAUUUCAGAGGCAUUGGGAAGACCACCUACCAUUGGUGAAUUCGCCUACAACAACAGUUAUCCAAGCCAGCAUUCAAUGGCACCAUUUGAGGCCUUGUACUACCGACCUGUAAGAUCAACCGUUGUGUUGGACUGAAGUUGGAGAAGCAUCUGCUUUUUGGUCCCUAACUUUUAUAUUUUUUUCUCUUUUUAUCACCAUUAGUCCAAGAGACUAUAACCGGAAGAUCAAAGUUAUCAUGGAAAAGAUUAGUUCUGGCCCAGAGUCGUCAGAAAUGUUACGCCGAUCGUCGCAUUACGACACUUGUCUUUUAGUGUUGGAACCACUAUCUCAGAUCUCACCUCGUCGAGGCUUGGAUGCGUUUUUUGGGAAGAGUGGAAGCUAUCCCCGCGCUUUUCAUUGGAACCGUUUCAGAUUUUGACAAGAUUGGUGAGGUAGCCUAUCGUUUGGCCCUCCCACCUCACUUUUCGGGUGUUCACCCUGUUGUUUCCAUGUGUCUAUGCUUUAGGAAUACAAUCAGGAUCCGUCACAAUUUUUAGAUUGGACAGAGUUGGCUCUUGGGCAAGUGCUUCUUACGAGGAGCAACCGAUUCAGAUUCUGGAAUCGAAAAAUCACGUCCUACUAGGGUAAGAAAGUGCUAUAGUGGAGAGUGCUUUGGAAGCACCAUGGGCGCCGAAGAAUCACUGGGAAGACGAGUUAGAGACUAGAUCACGUUAUCCUCAAUUUUUUCGUGGAAUUGAUAUUUGUUUUAAACUUCUGGGACGGAAUCUUUUUAAGGGGGGUAGAAUGUAAUUCCGGUAAUUUAUUUUGGGUUUGGAUAUUUUUGGACUUGGGCCACAAAUAUCCAUUUAAUUAUAUUGUUAAUUGGGCUUUGUGGCUAUUUGUGCUUAUAUAUAUUAUGUUUGGGCCAUUGGCAUAAGUGAAAGCUGUACAAAUAUUGUGUGUGUGUGUGUUACACCUUAUGAGAACCCAUUGGAAACUUCUCAAAUAUCCUUCCUUUUGCCUAGCAACACCACUUGACUUUUCCCAUUCCUUCACUUUCCCUUCCUUUUUUUUUUUCUUUUGCUCUCGGUUCCUUCUCUGUUUCUUUCACAUAGAGGAAAAACUCAAAGGAGCUCCGACGAUAAACGGCGAUUCGGCACUUCCCGGUGACAUCCGGCCUUCGAUCAAAACACAAAGUUGUUUCACCUCUUCAGAUCUUCGAUUCAACCGAUCGGAAUUCUGAUAGGGCUCCGUUUGAAUCUCCGUUUUGGCCAAAAAUUCGUUAAUCUCCAAUAGGUAAGUUUAAUCUUGUAUAUACCCUAUUAUCUUUAUUACUUAUGAUUAGUAGAUGUGAUUAGUUGUUAGUAUAACAUAUGUGGGAUGUUUGGUACUAAUAAACCUAGAAAAAAAUGCAUUAUUUUUUAGGCAAAAAUCAUAAUAUUGUGUGUUAAUGCCCUAUAUGUUAUUUUCUUGAAUUGAGAGGGUGAUUUAUUGUUAGAAUACAUAUAGGAGAUUGAUUAUUUAGAAACCUAUAAAGAAUUUAUGUUUAGGCAAACUUAGUAUAGUUUUAAUAAUGCAUACUACGUGUUUGAUGAAAUGUUUGUGAGAACAAAAAAACUAAAUAAUACAUAAAUAAUAAAUAACUUACCUGUUUUUAGUAUUUAAUCCCAUUUUGUGUUAGUUGUUUUGUAGAAAAUUUGGCCAUGUUUGAUAUGGUUAGGAUGUUAAGGAUAUUGUUUUUUGGUAGUUAUCUAACGAUAAACAAAAUUUGUUUAGAUAUUGGAACUUUAAUUAUACCU
rnacentral:lncRNA from 1 species